CUGGGCAAGAGCAGGAGUCAGUCAGCAAACCUUUCUUUGUAGAAAGUGGAAAUUCAGAGUAUAAACAGGAUUGAAGAUGGCAUGCUUAAACAAAGUGUUUUCAGGCCUCCUUAGAAACAGCCAGGAGCAAUGCAGGCAACCAGGUGCUGAGAGUCUUUCAGAGGAUGCCUUUUAUCCUGCCUUCCAGCACCUUCAGUGACAUUCUGUUUGGGGAGGAGAGCAGAGACUUGGCAAUUCCACGGUCUUAUGACCCACUGUACUAGCUUGGACCAGCCUCACAGAUGUGGAUGUGAAAGAUUCUGAUCAGGAAAGCCAGAGAACUAAGAACUGAGAAGCCAACAUGAAUAGCCCCUUCCCUGGUGACUCACCAUGAGAGAAAGGCAAGAAGCAGCCCUCCUCGGCCCACUUUAGUCAUGAGAGACCGAGAAAGCAAAAUGUCAUCUGCAAAAGUGAAAAGAACUUUGAGCAGAGGUGCACUGGGAAUGGAGUCGCCCCCUGUCUGUAAAUUGAGGACAACAACAGUUGUCCUCCCUGGAGGAAUUCCUCGUGACACGCAAUGAGAUAAUCAUACAAAGAGCUCAGCACAGUGCCUGACACCCAGCAAUCACACCUAAUCAAGUGACCCAGUGCUCUCGUAUCAUUCUUUAGCUCACUCUUUGGUGGCACUGGG
rnacentral:lncRNA from 1 species